UGCUGGAGUCCUGAAAUUUAUAAAUGAUGUCCGCCUUGUCCUAAAGAUGCUUCAUACCAAAUUUGAAAACAAUUAACGUAUCGCGGGCUGUCAAUCAAAGUAAAUUUUCAACCAAUGAAAUAAUUGCAUUUAUUUAGCGCGUUGCGGUAUAUUCGUACUCCGCCAUAUGCUCCGACAAACAAUCGCAGAACGAACAAGAUAGAUCUAUUAGCAAAUCCAGUGAACGAAGACAAAAAUGGUGAAGAGAUGCAGUUGGGAGACGUGUAACACCGACGACAGGUAUCCUGAGAGGCUAGAGGAGGAGUUAAAUUCAUCCCGUUUCCCAAACCGGCAACAAAUCUUGAGAAAUGCAAGCGGUGGAUUAAACUUUGCGGCAGGCCUACCUACCAACUUAACGAGGAUCUUUUGAGAGAUCGAAAUAAAUCAAAGCACUUUUAUGUAUGCACAAAGGGAGGUGACCAUUCUACAUUGAUCCAGUGCCUUUUUAUGGGAUUCGAAACUGUGACUGUGAGAUGUAUGAGAGUUUGACUUCUAGGCGGGCAAUUCUACUUUCACUUUAAACGGUAAGUUGAAAAGAGCAUGCUGCAUCUUUGAUGUAAAAUAUCUCGAAAAGGAAUCAAGGACCCUAUUGCAAAUUUGGCCUUGUUGGAAAGGUUAGGAAUUUUGCUGAAAGUUGAUAUCUGUCAUUAUACUGGGGAAAUUUUUUUUUUUUGAAUUAGGAGGGGUUGAAAAUGGGUAUAUUUUCCUCAUUUUUGUUGCUUUUUUACUUCCAGGAUGGCAGGUGCCUGAGUGUAUCUCGACCCAUUUCCAGGCUAGCAUCAGAUGUCAUGAUGGACCUUUAAAAUCUUUCACAUGUGUGCUUUCAAGAACCAUAUACAUUAUUUUUGAAAAUUGGUUGCCAUGGUAAUAAAAUCUGAAAAUUAACACAUGGACUUCUGAAGGCGAAUUUUCCUCCAUUUCCUGGUAGUUUGUGACCUUAAGCACAAAUCAGCUUGAAACUUGAAUUUUCCAGGCAAGAAUUUUUUUGUUUAUUGUGUUUAAAUAUGAUGUUUAUGCUUUAAAUAUGAGGUUUAUACUUAAUAUUAUUGAUUUCAUUGAAAUUGAAGGUCAUCGAUUAGUAAAUAUGUCAGAAGUAUUCUUAGCAAUUGGUCGAGUGUGAGUGCAAGAAAUUUCUCCUCAGCCAUAAAUUUUCUAUGAAAGUUUUUUGCAAUGCUAAUGAUGGAUAGAUGUGUGUGUGUGUGUCUGUCUGUCUGUCUGUCUGUCUGUCUGUCUGUGUGUGUGUGUCUGUCAAUCAGUGAGUGAGUGAGUGUGUGUGUCUGUCUGUCUGUCUGUGUGCGUGUCUUUCUGUGUGCAUAUGUGUGUGCGUGCGCGCGCAUGCAUGUGUACGUGUCUGUCUGUGUAUGUGUUUGUCUGUGUGACUGACUAUGUGUUUGUGUGUCUGUCUGUCUGUGUGUGUGUUUGUCUGUGUGUGUGUUUGUCUGUCUGUAUAUGUAUGUGUGUGUGUUUGUCUGUCUGUAUAUGUAUGUUUGUCUGUGUAUACCCGUUCUAUGUGUGUGUUUAUCAGUGUGUGUCUGUCUGUGUGUGUUUGUCUAUGUAUGUGUUGUGUGUAUCUGUCUGUGUGUCUGUCAGGUAGUCAUAGAGAAACAGAUAAAGCUUCAGAAUAUAAAUUUCAAUUUUAUUGAAUUCACUGUAUAUUGCAUAAGGAUCACUAACAUAGGUGUGAUACACUGUACAUCUAGUGGAGUACACCGACUUUUCAGAAACUUUUUGAUAUGUCAUCCAUACGCAUCCUGGCAUGAAACUGCUUCGCUUCUGUUUGUCUAUUUGAAUUACACCAGUGGAUCUACAUAGGCUAGCUUAACUAUGACAUCAUAAUAUAACACGUAAUGUGAUGUCAUAAUAGAGUAAUGACAUCAGAUUUUUUUUUUUUUUUUUUUUUUCUUGGCUAGAGUUAUCUUCCUUGACAAAUAUUCUUCUUCAUACAAAGGUGUCUUAUUUUGACUUAUGUUUAUUAGAUAAAAGCAUGAUAUCAGGGUAAUUUAUUAAAGAUGUGACGGUUUAGACGAACCAAUUUUUAGGGCAAAUUUCUCAUUGAAAUAAGUUUUUUUGAACUUGAAAAAACAGAAAACAGACUCUCCAGGAUUGCUCAAGUUAACAUCCUUACUGGCCAUUUCAGGGUUUUUUUCUCUACAAUUCCUUUUAUUUCACAUCAAAUUUCCUUAAAAUACAAUUCUAGUCUUUAUUUGGAAUCAAAAUCGCAUGUAUUUCACUCAGUUCUGGGUCUUUUAUUCUAUUUUCAACUUUACCAAGGGGAAGAACUCUGCUGGAAACAGUGAUGUGAAGAGGGCAGUUUUUGUUCACUCAUUUCAAGAUAUAAUGAACAAUAACUCCCCAUGUAUGAUACAUCAUUUUACUCGGAAAAACUUAAAUUUUUAAACAGUAUAGGUAUUUCAUGAUGUCGUAGAAUUUCCGCAGUCUUUAAAGUCUCAAUAUACCUGGCGAAUUGCCAAUACGAAGCUAAAGUGACCAGGGUUAAAAUGUAAAUAUGUUAAAAGAGUAUUUUAUAGAAUUUAAAUAGUUUCAUUGUUAUUGAUAUCUGUAUUAAUAUAGGGAGGUGACCAUUCUACAUUGAUCCAGUGCCUUUUUAUGGGAUUCGAAACUGUGACUGUGAGAUGUAUGAGAGUUUGACUUCUAGGCGGGCAAUUCUACUUUCACUUUAAACGGUAAGUUGAAAAGAGCAUGCUGCAUCUUUGAUGUAAAAUAUCUCGAAAAGGAAUCAAGGACCCUAUUGCAAAUUUGGCCUUGUUGGAAAGGUUAGGAAUUUUGCUGAAAGUUGAUAUCUGUCAUUAUACUGGGGAAAUUUUUUUUUUUUGAAUUAGGAGGGGUUGAAAAUGGGUAUAUUUUCCUCAUUUUUGUUGCUUUUUUACUUCCAGGAUGGCAGGUGCCUGAGUGUAUCUCGACCCAUUUCCAGGCUAGCAUCAGAUGUCAUGAUGGACCUUUAAAAUCUUUCACAUGUGUGCUUUCAAGAACCAUAUACAUUAUUUUUGAAAAUUGGUUGCCAUGGUAAUAAAAUCUGAAAAUUAACACAUGGACUUCUGAAGGCGAAUUUUCCUCCAUUUCCUGGUAGUUUGUGACCUUAAGCACAAAUCAGCUUGAAACUUGAAUUUUCCAGGCAAGAAUUUUUUUGUUUAUUGUGUUUAAAUAUGAUGUUUAUGCUUUAAAUAUGAGGUUUAUACUUAAUAUUAUUGAUUUCAUUGAAAUUGAAGGUCAUCGAUUAGUAAAUAUGUCAGAAGUAUUCUUAGCAAUUGGUCGAGUGUGAGUGCAAGAAAUUUCUCCUCAGCCAUAAAUUUUCUAUGAAAGUUUUUUGCAAUGCUAAUGAUGGAUAGAUGUGUGUGUGUGUGUCUGUCUGUCUGUCUGUCUGUCUGUCUGUGUGUGUGUGUCUGUCAAUCAGUGAGUGAGUGAGUGUGUGUGUCUGUCUGUCUGUCUGUGUGCGUGUCUUUCUGUGUGCAUAUGUGUGUGCGUGCGCGCGCAUGCAUGUGUACGUGUCUGUCUGUGUAUGUGUUUGUCUGUGUGACUGACUAUGUGUUUGUGUGUCUGUCUGUCUGUGUGUGUGUUUGUCUGUGUGUGUGUUUGUCUGUCUGUAUAUGUAUGUGUGUGUGUUUGUCUGUCUGUAUAUGUAUGUUUGUCUGUGUAUACCCGUUCUAUGUGUGUGUUUAUCAGUGUGUGUCUGUCUGUGUGUGUUUGUCUAUGUAUGUGUUGUGUGUAUCUGUCUGUGUGUCUGUCAGGUAGUCAUAGAGAAACAGAUAAAGCUUCAGAAUAUAAAUUUCAAUUUUAUUGAAUUCACUGUAUAUUGCAUAAGGAUCACUAACAUAGGUGUGAUACACUGUACAUCUAGUGGAGUACACCGACUUUUCAGAAACUUUUUGAUAUGUCAUCCAUACGCAUCCUGGCAUGAAACUGCUUCGCUUCUGUUUGUCUAUUUGAAUUACACCAGUGGAUCUACAUAGGCUAGCUUAACUAUGACAUCAUAAUAUAACACGUAAUGUGAUGUCAUAAUAGAGUAAUGACAUCAGAUUUUUUUUUUUUUUUUUUUUUUCUUGGCUAGAGUUAUCUUCCUUGACAAAUAUUCUUCUUCAUACAAAGGUGUCUUAUUUUGACUUAUGUUUAUUAGAUAAAAGCAUGAUAUCAGGGUAAUUUAUUAAAGAUGUGACGGUUUAGACGAACCAAUUUUUAGGGCAAAUUUCUCAUUGAAAUAAGUUUUUUUGAACUUGAAAAAACAGAAAACAGACUCUCCAGGAUUGCUCAAGUUAACAUCCUUACUGGCCAUUUCAGGGGUUUUUUCUCUACAAUUCCUUUUAUUUCACAUCAAAUUUCCUUAAAAUACAAUUCUAGUCUUUAUUUGGAAUCAAAAUCGCAUGUAUUUCACUCAGUUCUGGGUCUUUUAUUCUAUUUUCAACUUUACCAAGGGGAAGAACUCUGCUGGAAACAGUGAUGUGAAGAGGGCAGUUUUUGUUCACUCAUUUCAAGAUAUAAUGAACAAUAACUCCCCAUGUAUGAUACAUCAUUUUACUCGGAAAAACUUAAAUUUUUAAACAGUAUAGGUAUUUCAUGAUGUCGUAGAAUUUCCGCAGUCUUUAAGCACAAAUCAGCUUGAAACUUGAAUUUUCCAGGCAAGAAUUUUUUUGUUUAUUGUGUUUAAAUAUGAUGUUUAUGCUUUAAAUAUGAGGUUUAUACUUAAUAUUAUUGAUUUCAUUGAAAUUGAAGGUCAUCGAUUAGUAAAUAUGUCAGAAGUAUUCUUAGCAAUUGGUCGAGUGUGAGUGCAAGAAAUUUCUCCUCAGCCAUAAAUUUUCUAUGAAAGUUUUUUGCAAUGCUAAUGAUGGAUAGAUGUGUGUGUGUGUGUCUGUCUGUCUGUCUGUCUGUCUGUGUGUGUGUGUCUGUCAAUCAGUGAGUGAGUGAGUGUGUGUGUCUGUCUGUCUGUCUGUGUGCGUGUCUUUCUGUGUGCAUAUGUGUGUGCGUGCGCGCGCAUGCAUGUGUACGUGUCUGUCUGUGUAUGUGUUUGUCUGUGUGACUGACUAUGUGUUUGUGUGUCUGUCUGUCUGUGUGUGUGUUUGUCUGUGUGUGUGUUUGUCUGUCUGUAUAUGUAUGUGUGUGUGUUUGUCUGUCUGUAUAUGUAUGUUUGUCUGUGUAUACCCGUUCUAUGUGUGUGUUUAUCAGUGUGUGUCUGUCUGUGUGUGUUUGUCUAUGUAUGUGUUGUGUGUAUCUGUCUGUGUGUCUGUCAGGUAGUCAUAGAGAAACAGAUAAAGCUUCAGAAUAUAAAUUUCAAUUUUAUUGAAUUCACUGUAUAUUGCAUAAGGAUCACUAACAUAGGUGUGAUACACUGUACAUCUAGUGGAGUACACCGACUUUUCAGAAACUUUUUGAUAUGUCAUCCAUACGCAUCCUGGCAUGAAACUGCUUCGCUUCUGUUUGUCUAUUUGAAUUACACCAGUGGAUCUACAUAGGCUAGCUUAACUAUGACAUCAUAAUAUAACACGUAAUGUGAUGUCAUAAUAGAGUAAUGACAUCAGAUUUUUUUUUUUUUUUUUUUUUCUUGGCUAGAGUUAUCUUCCUUGACAAAUAUUCUUCUUCAUACAAAGGUGUCUUAUUUUGACUUAUGUUUAUUAGAUAAAAGCAUGAUAUCAGGGUAAUUUAUUAAAGAUGUGACGGUUUAGACGAACCAAUUUUUAGGGCAAAUUUCUCAUUGAAAUAAGUUUUUUUGAACUUGAAAAAACAGAAAACAGACUCUCCAGGAUUGCUCAAGUUAACAUCCUUACUGGCCAUUUCAGGGUUUUUUUCUCUACAAUUCCUUUUAUUUCACAUCAAAUUUCCUUAAAAUACAAUUCUAGUCUUUAUUUGGAAUCAAAAUCGCAUGUAUUUCACUCAGUUCUGGGUCUUUUAUUCUAUUUUCAACUUUACCAAGGGGAAGAACUCUGCUGGAAACAGUGAUGUGAAGAGGGCAGUUUUUGUUCACUCAUUUCAAGAUAUAAUGAACAAUAACUCCCCAUGUAUGAUACAUCAUUUUACUCGGAAAAACUUAAAUUUUUAAACAGUAUAGGUAUUUCAUGAUGUCGUAGAAUUUCCGCAGUCUUUAAGCACAAAUCAGCUUGAAACUUGAAUUUUCCAGGCAAGAAUUUUUUUGUUUAUUGUGUUUAAAUAUGAUGUUUAUGCUUUAAAUAUGAGGUUUAUACUUAAUAUUAUUGAUUUCAUUGAAAUUGAAGGUCAUCGAUUAGUAAAUAUGUCAGAAGUAUUCUUAGCAAUUGGUCGAGUGUGAGUGCAAGAAAUUUCUCCUCAGCCAUAAAUUUUCUAUGAAAGUUUUUUGCAAUGCUAAUGAUGGAUAGAUGUGUGUGUGUGUGUCUGUCUGUCUGUCUGUCUGUCUGUCUGUCUGUGUGUGUGUGUCUGUCAAUCAGUGAGUGAGUGAGUGUGUGUGUCUGUCUGUCUGUCUGUGUGCGUGUCUUUCUGUGUGCAUAUGUGUGUGCGUGCGCGCGCAUGCAUGUGUACGUGUCUGUCUGUGUAUGUGUUUGUCUGUGUGACUGACUAUGUGUUUGUGUGUCUGUCUGUCUGUGUGUGUGUUUGUCUGUGUGUGUGUUUGUCUGUCUGUAUAUGUAUGUGUGUGUGUUUGUCUGUCUGUAUAUGUAUGUUUGUCUGUGUAUACCCGUUCUAUGUGUGUGUUUAUCAGUGUGUGUCUGUCUGUGUGUGUUUGUCUAUGUAUGUGUUGUGUGUAUCUGUCUGUGUGUCUGUCAGGUAGUCAUAGAGAAACAGAUAAAGCUUCAGAAUAUAUAUUUCAAUUUUAUUGAAUUCACUGUAUAUUGCAUAAGGAUCACUAACAUAGGUGUGAUACACUGUACAUCUAGUGGAGUACACCGACUUUUCAGAAACUUUUUGAUAUGUCAUCCAUACGCAUCCUGGCAUGAAACUGCUUCGCUUCUGUUUGUCUAUUUGAAUUACACCAGUGGAUCUACAUAGGCUAGCUUAACUAUGACAUCAUAAUAUAACACGUAAUGUGAUGUCAUAAUAGAGUAAUGACAUCAGAUUUUUUUUUUUUUUUUUUUUUUCUUGGCUAGAGUUAUCUUCCUUGACAAAUAUUCUUCUUCAUACAAAGGUGUCUUAUUUUGACUUAUGUUUAUUAGAUAAAAGCAUGAUAUCAGGGUAAUUUAUUAAAGAUGUGACGGUUUAGACGAACCAAUUUUUAGGGCAAAUUUCUCAUUGAAAUAAGUUUUUUUGAACUUGAAAAAACAGAAAACAGACUCUCCAGGAUUGCUCAAGUUAACAUCCUUACUGGCCAUUUCAGGGUUUUUUUCUCUACAAUUCCUUUUAUUUCACAUCAAAUUUCCUUAAAAUACAAUUCUAGUCUUUAUUUGGAAUCAAAAUCGCAUGUAUUUCACUCAGUUCUGGGUCUUUUAUUCUAUUUUCAACUUUACCAAGGGGAAGAACUCUGCUGGAAACAGUGAUGUGAAGAGGGCAGUUUUUGUUCACUCAUUUCAAGAUAUAAUGAACAAUAACUCCCCAUGUAUGAUACAUCAUUUUACUCGGAAAAACUUAAAUUUUUAAACAGUAUAGGUAUUUCAUGAUGUCGUAGAAUUUCCGCAGUCUUUAAAGUCUCAAUAUACCUGGCGAAUUGCCAAUACGAAGCUAAAGUGACCAGGGUUAAAAUGUAAAUAUGUUAAAAGAGUAUUUUAUAGAAUUUAAAUAGUUUCAUUGUUAUUGAUAUCUGUAUUAAUAUAGGGAGGUGACCAUUCUACAUUGAUCCAGUGCCUUUUUAUGGGAUUCGAAACUGUGACUGUGAGAUGUAUGAGAGUUUGACUUCUAGGCGGGCAAUUCUACUUUCACUUUAAACGGUAAGUUGAAAAGAGCAUGCUGCAUCUUUGAUGUAAAAUAUCUCGAAAAGGAAUCAAGGACCCUAUUGCAAAUUUGGCCUUGUUGGAAAGGUUAGGAAUUUUGCUGAAAGUUGAUAUCUGUCAUUAUACUGGGGAAAUUUUUUUUUUUUGAAUUAGGAGGGGUUGAAAAUGGGUAUAUUUUCCUCAUUUUUGUUGCUUUUUUACUUCCAGGAUGGCAGGUGCCUGAGUGUAUCUCGACCCAUUUCCAGGCUAGCAUCAGAUGUCAUGAUGGACCUUUAAAAUCUUUCACAUGUGUGCUUUCAAGAACCAUAUACAUUAUUUUUGAAAAUUGGUUGCCAUGGUAAUAAAAUCUGAAAAUUAA